rnacentral:rRNA from 1 species
AUUGAACGCUGGCGGCAUGCUUUACACAUGCAAGUCGAACGGCAGCGCGGGCUUCGGCCUGGCGGCGAGUGGCGAACGGGUGAGUAAUGCAUCGGAACGUGCCCAGUAGUGGGGGAUAGCCCGGCGAAAGCCGGAUUAAUACCGCAUACGACCUGAGGGUGAAAGCGGGGGACCGAAAGGCCUCGCGCUAUUGGAGCGGCCGAUGUCGGACUAGCUAGUUGGUGGGGUAAAGGCUUACCAAGGCGACGAUCCGUAGCUGGUCUGAGAGGACGACCAGCCACACUGGGACUGGGACACGGCCCAGGCUCCUACGGGAGGCAGCAGUGGGGAAUUUUGGACAAUGGGGGGAAACCUGAUCCAGCCAUGCCGCGUGCGGGAAGAAGGCCUUCGGGUUGUAAACCGCUUUUGUUCGGGAAGAAAUCCUCUGGGCUAAUACCCCGGGGGGAUGACGGUACCGGAAGAAUAAGCACCGGCUAACUACGUG